AGGGUUUGAUUCUGGCUCAGGAUGAACGCUAGCGGCAGGCCUUAUACAUGCAAGUCGAACGGUAACAUUGGUGCUUGCACCAGAUGACGAGUGGCGGACGGGUGCGUAACGCGUAUGCAACCUACCUUUUACUAGAGUAUAGCCCAGAGAAAUUUGGAUUAAUCCUCUAUAAUAUCACUAAAUCACAUGUUUUUUUGAUUAAAGUUUUAACGGUAAAAGAUGGGCAUGCGUCUUAUUAGUUUGUAGGUGAGGUAACGGCUCACCUAGACUACGAUAAGUAGGGGCCCUGAGAGGGGGAUCCCCCACACUGGUACUGAGACACGGACCAGACUCCUACGGGAGGCAGCAGUAAGGAAUAUUGGACAAUGGACGAAAGUCUGAUCCAGCCAUGCCGCGUGCAGGAUGACUGCCCUAUGGGUUGUAAACUGCUUUUAUACAGGAAGAAACACUCCGACGUGUCGGAGCUUGACGGUACUGUAAGAAUAAGGAUCGGCUAACUCCGUGCCAGCCGCCGCGGUAAUUC
rnacentral:rRNA from 1 species